rnacentral:rRNA from 1 species
ACGCCCUUAGAGUUUGAUCCUGGCUCAGGACGAACGCUGGCGGCGCGCCUAACACAUGCAAGUCGAACGAGCGAGAGAGAGCUUGCUUUCUCAAGCGAGUGGCGAACGGGUGAGUAACGCGUGAGGAACCUGCCUCAAAGAGGGGGACAACAGUUGGAAACGACUGCUAAUACCGCAUAAGCCCACGACCCGGCAUCGGGUAGAGGGAAAAGGAGCAAUCCGCUUUGAGAUGGCCUCGCGUCCGAUUAGCUAGUUGGUGAGGUAAUGGCCCACCAAGGCGACGAUCGGUAGCCGGACUGAGAGGUUGAACGGCCACAUUGGGACUGAGACACGGCCCAGACUCCUACGGGAGGCAGCAGUGGGGAAUAUUGCACAAUGGGGGAAACCCUGAUGCAGCGACGCCGCGUGGAGGAAGAAGGUCUUCGGAUUGUAAACUCCUGUUGUUGAGGAAGAUAAUGACGGUACUCAACAAGGAAGUGACGGCUAACUACGUGCCAGCAGCCGCGGUAAAACGUAGGUCACAAGCGUUGUCCGGAAUUACUGGGUGUAAAGGGAGCGCAGGCGGGAAGACAAGUUGGAAGUGAAAUCCAUGGGCUCAACCCAUGAACUGCUUUCAAAACUGUUUUUCUUGAGUAGUGCAGAGGUAGGCGGAAUUCCCGGUGUAGCGGUGGAAUGCGUAGAUAUCGGGAGGAACACCAGUGGCGAAGGCGGCCUACUGGGCACCAACUGACGCUGAGGCUCGAAAGUGUGGGUAGCAAACAGGAUUAGAUACCCUGGUAGUCCACACUGUAAACGAUGAUUACUAGGUGUUGGAGGAUUGACCCCUUCAGUGCCGCAGUUAACACAUUAAGUAAUCCACCUGGGGAGUACGACCGCAAGG